GGAUCUGUUGGAUGGAGUUCAAGUUGUAGUCUCAAUCCUCAACUGUCUCUAGUCUGGGUUGGACUCGAGUAAGGAAUUCUUGGUGGACCGUGGCUGCGUUGCAGAGUCCGAUUGGGAACCAACUUUGGGUUGGAGUCGGUUUGCGUGAUGACUUAGAUGCUAGCCGGGGUUUGCUAGUCCGAGUUGAGGUUGAGUCCGAGGCGAAGUCGAACUCAAUGUUGUUGACGUUGAAAUUUUUGAUUUUCCUGACGAAAUCCUCUACUUCUUGACGAUUAGAGUUUUUGUCAAGAUGCUU
rnacentral:lncRNA from 1 species